rnacentral:snRNA from 1 species
GUGCUCAGUUAAGCAGCACAUAUACUAAAACUGGAAUAAUACACUACAGAAAAGAUUUGCAGGCCCCCCCGCACAAAGAUGCCUCAUAACUUUGUAGUGUUUCACAUUAAA